UCUCUUUGUCCCGGGGGGCGGCGGGGGGUCGCUGGGGUUGUCGGAGGGGGGUGGGGAGCGG
rnacentral:SRP_RNA from 1 species